rnacentral:lncRNA from 1 species
CCUUUCCCUGUCCCACUUCCUCCUCCAUCUCCCUCUCUGCCUUUCUUCCUCUCUCUCCCUCUCUCCAUCACCAGAGCACACAGCAAGAAGCCAGACAUCUGUAAGCCAGGAAGACAGGCCUCCUCAGAGACCCCACAGGACCUAGAUCUGGACGACUUCCAGCCUCCAGAACUAAAUUAAGAGCUGAUGGAGUCCACCAAAUCCAGAGCCUCCCCCAAAGAAGAAGAAAUGGGACCCAGGAAGGAGGAAGGAGAAACAAAAGGAAUUCACAGGAUGAUGCUGAGGGGAAGCUUCAGGAAAGCAAUUUCUAAGGCCAGAGACCACCAGUCCAGAGGGAGAACUGAGAACUCCCGCAGGAUGCCACCAAGAAAACAAACAAAAAGAAUCCUACAGAAACAAUCUGCUUACAGACACAGCAUGACUACUUUGUUUCAACAACAGAAAGCAGGAAGAGAUUUGAUAUUGUCUAUCCUGCAAACGAAAACAUUUUUUAAGUAAUCAGCCCUUCACAUUUUAGCUGGGCAUAUGGCUGCCUAGCUAAAGACUACGUUUCCCAGCCUCCCUGAAGCUGGAUGCGGACACGGGACUAAUUUUGGCCAACGGAUUGUGGACAGACAUUGACAUAUAGGACUUCUGGUUUGUGCACUGAAAAGUAAAGAGCAGGUUUCCCACUGCUUCUUUCAGAGUCCCCACAGAUUGGAAAAUAAAAACAGUCAUCUUAGACAAUAAAACGAAAGCCUCAGAUCAAAUACAGAAGACAUUAGGAUCCUGGGUUCCUGAUACUGUCAAGCUUCCAGGCCACCCCUGAUCAUUUACCCAGACUUACAAGAGGGGAUAUAAACUUCUAUCUUGAUUGUCAUUGUAUUUUUAGACUAUCCGUUACCUCAGAAAAAUCUGUAUCCUAUCUAAUAAAGUUUCACCUAACACUUUCCUGAAAUAUAAUUCAGGGGCUCUUGACAACAUACUAAAUUUGCCAGACACCUUUUUUCCAAAGAGUCCAAUUCCCUUUCCAUAAUUUUACAUCACUUUUCUUCACAGUGUCUCUGAUGUAAUUUAAUAACAAUGCUUUAAGAUUGACCUAACCCCCAGAUUCCAUGACCCCAGUGUUCACGUCAGGCUGCUUUCUGCCCUGGAAAACAACAUCUGGUUCUGUUUCAUACUCCUGGGCAAGCUAAAUUCCCAGU